UACGGGGGGGGCAAGCGUUGUUCGGAAUUACUGGGCGUAAAGGGCUCGUAGGUGGCCAACUAAGUCAUACGUGAAAUCCCUCGGCUUAACCGGGGAACUGCGUCUGAUACUGGAUGGCUUGAGGUUGGGAGAGGGAUGCGGAAUUCCAGGUGUAGCGGUGAAAUGCGUAGAUAUCUGGAGGAACACCGGUGGCGAAGGCGGCAUCCUGGACCGAUUCUGACACUGAGGAGCGAAAGCCAGGGGAGCAAACGGG
rnacentral:rRNA from 1 species